rnacentral:other from 1 species
AGUUGUCUGGGUUAUUGGUGAUUUAGCUACAAUCUUGUACCGAUACUACUUAGAAAAGGGAGCCUUGGUGUUUUGACUAGAGAGCAAGCUUUGGUGCUCUAGCAUUGACAAAGAAGCCCAACGUUGAAAUUAUGGCACCCACCUUGAUAACUAUAGGGAUCAAAAAUAUUGGACUAAAACGGUAAUCUGGACAACUA